GAGGAUUUAGCUCAGUGGUAGAGUGCUUGCCUAGCAAGCGCAAGGCCCUGGGUUCAGUCCUCA
rfam:Rattus norvegicus chromosome 2, whole genome shotgun sequence.